AUGGCCGCCGGUCUCCUCCUCGGCGACGCCGCCGCGGCCCCGCGGGCACGCAUCGCCGUCUGCCGGCCGCGCCUGCACCACUGCGGCUGGGCCCCGAGGCCCCACCACGGCUGCCGCCUCUCCCGCGCCCGGGGGCGCGCGCCGGCCAGGUUCGCCGCGUCCGCGUCGGGCGGCGGGCGGGGCGGAUGGGACGAGCCGUCGGAGGAGGAGAAGCGGAGGGAGAGGGAGGCGGAGAUGGCGCGGCGGCUCAAGGAGGCGGAGGAGAUGGACGAGCUGGAGCGCACCGCCGAGGAGCUGCAGAGCCGCGCCGCCCCCGACGACGAGUCCGAGGAGGAGAAGCGCGAGCGCGUCCGCCGCGAGCUCCAGAAGGUGGCCAAGGAGCAGGCCGAGAGGAGGGCGACAGGGAAACAGAUGUUCGAUCUGGGGCAAAGGGCGUAUGGGAAAGGGAUGUAUGGCCGCUCCAUCGAGUUCUUGGAGGCUGCACUCACCAUCAUACGCCCCUCCUCGCUCCUCGGCGGUGAGAUUCAAAUUUGGCUUGCAAUGGCAUACGAUGCCAAUAGGCGGCACAAGGAAUCCAUAGCAUUGUACAAAGAAUUGGAGAAUACACAUCCAAUGAUUAGCAUCAGGAGACAAGCAGCUGAAUUCCGGUACAUUGCUGAGGCGCCCAAGUUGAAGAUCUCCAACGAUGAGGUGGUCACGAUACCGCAAAUUGGAUCUAGCUGGGACUGGUACGCUGGGACAUGGAGUGACAAGAUCCAAGAGCAAGAAGACAAGAAAAGAAAGAUGGUGGCGGCCGCGAGCCAACCGCAGCCUUCGCCAAACGUCUUCGGCAACCUGUUCCUCCUGCGGCCGCCGGGCGAGUGGAAGAAGAGCGCCUGGGCGAUUGUCACACUGUGGGCUGUGCUGAUCGGGACAGCAUUCUAUCUGCAGAGAUGA
rnacentral:rRNA from 1 species